rnacentral:rRNA from 1 species
GACGAACGCUGGCGGCGUGCUUAACACAUGCAAGUCGAACGGUGAACCGGGCUUCGGCCCGGGGAUCAGUGGCGAACGGGUGCGUAACACGUGGGCAACCUGCCCCAGACACUGGGAUAACUCCGGGAAACCGGGGCUAAUACCGGAUACUCCGCUCGAACCAUGAGGUUCGAUCGGGAAAGCUCCGACGGUCUGGGAUGGGCCCGCGGCCUAUCAGCUUGUUGGCGAGGUAACGGCUCACCAAGGCGACGACGGGUAGCUGGUCUGAGAGGACGACCAGCCACACUGGAACUGAGAUACGGUCCAGACUCCUACGGGAGGCAGCAGUGGGGAAUCUUGCACAAUGGGCGAAAGCCUGAUGCAGCGACGCCGCGUGGGGGACGAAUGCCUUCGGGUUGUAAACCCCUUUCGGCAGGGAAGAAGCGCAAGUGACGGUACCUGCA